rnacentral:lncRNA from 1 species
CCGAAACAAAAAGGAUAAACAUCACCACGUUUGAGUUCGAGACCGUUGUUGGAUGCUGAAUCAGCAAUCAAAAUUAAGUACCUAACCUGCGUACGGAAAAUAAAACUGUACGCUGAGUAAAACUCAGUGGUAUUUCUAUAAUUCGAAUAUUUAAAGACAAAACAAUAUAAUAUGCAUAUGUUAAUUAUAAGCACAAUUGAAUAUUUAAAACCACAUUUAUUCAUGCAAUGACAUUAGCCAUACAUUAUUCAAUUCAUGAAUACAUCAUUAUAUACCAUACUCAAUUUUCAUCACUUGCUAUAUAUAAUAGCUUUUCACAAUUUGGUACACAUAUCAUUUAAACAAUAAUAUUGUUCAUUCUAUAUCCAAUUCAUGAAAACACAAUUCAUGUCUCUUAUUUUCAUUUUGUAAACAAUAUCAUUUACUAUCAACCGUAGUACCAUUUCAAUUAAUUAUCCCUAUUAACACGACUCGGACUUGGACAGAUACAUGGAUCCAACCAAAACACACUAGUUUGGCACCCAGUGCCUCAUCGGAUAAUUCAAAGUAAUAAAUUGACACCCAGUGUCUCAUCGACUCGAAGUCGAAGAAAUCCCUGAACUCUUCCAAUCCUAUAACAUGCCAUCUAUAUCCGACUUAGCCCGAUACAAUUAAUAGGUUUAAUUUCACAUUUCAGAUAUAAUCAAUAUCCAAUAUUAAUUUUUCAUAUAUUCACAUAAUUACACAUAUAAUCAUUUCAACUCAAAAAUCAAUCCAUUCAAUAUAUAUAUAUCUAUCAAUUCAAUUCAUUCAAUCAAUUAUCAAAAUAUCAAUUACUUACCUUAACACUUACCAUAUACGUUAAAUAAAAAUUACAACAAUUAAUAACUAGUUUUGGAUUAUAGAAAUACAAACUAGAAAUUCUGAGCUAUUCCUCGUCGACUUUAUUUUUUCCCUUUUUAGUCGAUGAUUCUGGUACGACGUUAGGUACAGAAUUAAAACAAUUAAAAAUCAUCAAUACAACACAAUUAAUUUCAUAUUGAAUAUUUCAAUUUUUACUCAAAUAUUGCCAAAUUUCAAAUUUAGUCCCUAAACCGAAACUAACUUUUAUUCUUCACAUUUAAUUCUUUAUUUUUAUGCAAAUUACACUUUAGACUAAAUUCAACUCCCUAUUUUCACAUAAAUUCCUAAAUUUUUAAGUUUUUACAAUUUAGUCCCUAUUACACAAAAUUUACUAUUUGUUCUACAAUUUAACCCUUUUUCAUUUCUAAUUUAAAAAUCUAUGAAUUUAGUCCCUAAUACUAAAAUUAUUCAACAUUAACAACAUCAAAAAACUUAAUAAUUUCUAAAAUUUUGACAUGGGUGGGGUAGUAUUUAAUACUAGGAUUCCCAAAAAUAUAAAAAUUACAAGAAAAGAGACUAAAUUGACUAACUAAUUGAGCUUGGAACUUUGAAACCCUAAUUUUCCUUCCUUCUUUCUUUUUCUCCUUAUUUCGUUUGGCUUUCUCUGUUUCUUUCUUUCUUUUUCUAUUUAUUUAUUUGUUUUAUUAUAAUAAUAUAAUAUAUUAUUAUAUAAUAAAAUAUAUUUACUCAACAUUUUAGGCUUAUUUUAUAAUAUAUAUAAUAAAAUUUCACAUGUUUUAAAUCUUAUGCCGCCUCAUUUAAUUCCAAUGACAUAAUUGCUUCUUUAGUCCUUUUAAUUUUUCUUUAAUCUAUAAUUCAACUUUCACCCCUUUAUGCAAUUUAGUCUUUUUUACCUAAUUACUCUUAAUUCAAGUAAAUUCCCCUAACCAAAACCUUAUUAACUACACAACUAGCUUCGUAAAUUCGGUUUACGAUAACGGAGUCUCAAAAAUGCACUUUUCGACACCCAUGACUAUCAGGUCGUUACAAUUCUCCCCCUAAAUAAAUUUUGUCCCCGCAAUUUAGAGGUGCUCAUGGGUCGGGCCGAGAAAAAAUUUUCAGCCCGAUUGCUAAGCCCAGGCCCGGCCCGGCCCGAAAUAUGGGCCUGAGAUUUUACCCAUGCCCGACCCGUGGAGAAAAUAUGAAGCCCGGGCUCGGACCGGCCCGACCCGUUUUGCUUUAAAAUCUGGAAUUUCUUUCGCAUAUCAUAUUCUUCUGGAACAUUAGACAAAUGCAGGUCCAUUCAAUUAUUUCACAAGAACCACCACCACAUUCCAAUCUGUUAAAAAUUCUCCAAUAACAGAUUUAGCCAAGUCACUAAUUAGAUCAUGCAUGAGAAAAUAAGUACCCUUCCAUCUCGAUUGUUAAAAAACUGACCUCAAUCUCAAAUCUUUGAAGUAGCCAUCCACAAACGAAUGAGUUUUUCUAUUUGAAAUUCAUAAUGUUUAGGAAAAUAUGAACAAUAAGCAAAGCAAUGCUUUAAAUAGGAUGAAAGAUGAUAAUAACUCAAUUUGAAUGCUGGAAGAAUAUUGCAUGUAUCAUCAGGUAGGUCCCAAAAAUUGCUAUGUAAUAUUUUACACCGUUCAUCAACAUCUAGUUUACAACGGAGAAGACCUGCAAGUGUUUUUACAGCCAAAAGAGACCAUCAAAUCUUUUAACAAUUGCAACAUUUUUCAAUCUUGAAACUAGAAUAAUAAAAAAUUCUGUAUAAGACUAUUAAAUUAAAAAUAAAAAUAAAAAUAGAAAAGAUCAAGAGAAUAAAAAUACAAAAUCAUUUCAAGCUUGUGAUCUCAAGGUCAAGAGAGACUGGUGUUUUUUCUCAUACUUGACAAAAUCAAACUGUAUUAUAAUUUCAUACUUGAUUUCAAUACAAGAAAUUAUACAUGUAAACAUAUACAUAUUAGAAACUAACAUAUACAUAUAUCAAUUCAUAAUAAAUUUAAAAACUAGAUCUUAUACAUGUAUAUAUAUAAUCGAACCUCAUAUACUUAUAUAAUGACAUAUCUUAAUUCGAUACAAAAGCAUAUACAUAUAUAUAUUUGCAUGCUUAUUCGAAACUACUUAAACAAGUAUAAUAUACAUAUUAUAAAUCCAAUCCAAAGGUUUAUACAUGUAUAUACCUAUGCAUUUAUUCGAACCUUAUGUACACACAUAUAUACAUACCUUUGAUUAAACCAAUAAUUUAUACAUGUAGAUACAUGUGUGAAUUCGAACCUUGUAUAUAUAUAUUAUAUAUAUAAAAUUUAUACUUAAACUAAAUUCAAUAACAUUUAUGUAUAUACUUAUAUACCAUUCAUACUUUAACUAAAUGCAAAGGCCUAUAUAAGUAUAUACCUAUAUGUUCGAACAUUAAAACAGUGUAUUAAUCAUUCAUACUUUAAAUUUAUUCAACCAAUAUACUUUAAAUUAUAAUUCAUCAAAGUUGAAUUAUAACCAAAGUUGAUAACCAUACAAGAUUUACUCAAUUUGUCUAAAAAUCUUAAGUAGAAGAUUCUCCGAAUUGCUGAAAACAAAGCAAGAAUUCAUGACUCUUAUGUUGAUUUUGAAGCUAAAAUUGUUUAUAAGAAUGAGUUAAAUUGUGAGUAUUCGAAUAUAUGUUCUGGCAAUGAAUACUUUAGUCACUUAAUCUUUAUAUCAUUACUCCUUAAUUUAAUAAUUCAAACAAUAUCAAUAAUAAUGUAAGCCCAAUUCCUAGCAAAGUUACUGUCAAUCAUAUGUUUCAAUAAUCCUUCAUUCAUACUUCACUCACCAUUUCUCAAUAUGUAAAAAGUAAUUUUCAUUUUUUCUUUCUCUAGGUCUUGAUAGAGAAGACAGAAAAUUUGAAAAAAAAAGUAAUUCUAAUCGAUGGAUUACUAUGUAAAGAUAAAAAAGAGAAGAAGAUUAAUAAUUUUUUAAAUAUAUAUUUUAGAACUAAUUCGCAUAUCUUAUUCUCUCUGUUAUAUCACUCCAUUUUAAAAUGGUUGCUUUUAUGCAUUAAGAUGAUAACCAAAGAUGAAUUAUAACGAGCAAGUGCCACAGACAGAUGAAUAGACCAAGAUACCCUUCUAUCUUCCAUAGCUGAGAGACCUUAUCCUCCAGGAAAAACAACAUGAUUAGCCAAUCCAAAACAGGACAAAAUCCAGAACAGUCCAACAUUUUAAACUCAACAGAUACUAGAAACAACUGUCUCUCUUAGUAUUUGAACUCAACCUUUAUGUAAAACUCAAUUUUAAAAUAGUUCGAGAACACAAUCAAAAUCAAAAUCCCCCCCAAUAUGUAAAGUGUAAACACAAACAAAAUCCCCCAAGAUUUAGUGUCUCAAAAUCAAAAUCAGAACACCGUUAACAGUAAAAAUCAAAAUCACAACCAACAUCAAAAAGCAAAAAAGGGAGAAGACGUUAAAAAAUUAGGAAACCGUUAACAGCAAACUCACCUUUGAAAUUCAAAGGUAGAAGAUGUUGAAGGCUAGAUUUGCUGGAAGCACCGUUAGAGCGGAGGUGGAAUCGUGGAAGGUCGGUCACCGGAGGUGGAAUGGUGGAUCGGGCGAGGUGGGUUUCCGAUUUGGGGGAAAAAAAGGGAAGGGAAAGCGUUAGGUUAGGGAUUUAUCAGAGACAGAGACACGGGGUCGGGGAAAUGGGGAGGGGAAUUGGGAAUGGGAAAU